CUGGAGGUAGCUUAACAGGCUAGAGCGCCGCUACAUUACAAAGUUUAGUAAAAGGCAGGCGGAGAUACGUGUUCAAUUCUCGUCCUCCAGACCA
rnacentral:tRNA from 1 species